rnacentral:lncRNA from 1 species
GUCUCCUAAAAUUUUAAAAAAAAUUGAAUUUUUGAGAUUUCAAACCUCUUUAUCCUUGUCCACAUCAUUUCCCCUUCUUCCUCUCUUUCCAAUGCCUAAGAGUUAGGCAUCUCAUCUUCUCACACGUCUAAGUUAAAGAGGGUGAUUGUUUCUAUAUCAAGAACGAAGAGAAAGGCUGCUAUUCAAGUAUUGAGUUUGUGGUCCA